rnacentral:lncRNA from 1 species
GUUCAGCCUUCCUGUAUCCAUCAGACCAUCGAGAUGGACGUUCUGUGGGACCCCCAAGAAGCAACCCUCCCUGGACUAGACAGAGUCUGUGCAGACACAGCGGGUUCUCAGCGUGGAGCCUCGCCGCCUUCGUGGUUUGUUGGAAGACCUGGAGGAUGGUAAAAGAUCUGUCACCCACCCUAUCUGCCACGCCGCCCAGCUGGUCUCCCUGUUGCUAACCUCGCCCCUCCUCCAAAGCCCUGUCUACCCCGCUGCCAGAGGAUCAUCCUAUCACCAGAUCGGGUCGCUUUCUGCUAAAAUACUUCAGGGAGAAAUAAAAAUAAAAUGACCAAUAAAAGACUUUCAAGCACAAAAUAUACUACGAUCAAAUUCUGUCGGAGAAUGGAAAUACGAGUCCAAAGACAAAAGGAAUGAUGUGAGGAAGUGAUGCCUGUAUAUUCCACUUUGA